AUGCCUCAAGACAGUUUCAGAUCAGUGGUUUGCAGGUCCCUUUCAAAGAGUCACCCCUCCAGCUCCAGGAGCAAAGAUGGCAGCUACCUUGAAAGAACUCAGUGUGAUGCCCCUUAUGUUGUCACACUGCAACCCACAGUCUGCCGGAGCUGCCAAAGCCAGGAUUGGCGCCCCUCGCAAAGUAACCGGGAGGAGAGGUCCAUCUUGUCGCAAAGAGAUUACGUGAUGGGUUCCACACUCUCGAGGCAUUUUGCCGAGGACCUCCUAAGAGGCGCUAUGGACCUCCAGGACUCCCUUGUCAUGCUUGAGAAGUUCCAAACAGUGUCACAGAGCAUGCGGCAAUCGACUAAGCAGAGAAGGCCAGGGAACGACGAGGAAUCAUUGGACGUCACUGGAAUCCGUGAAGCACUCUUCGAAGCAUCAAUCGCCAAGAAGCUGGUCCCUGGAAGUGUCAGCAGUAGAUUUGAUGGGCAACUAAGGAAUUCUACCGACGAGCUGAAGAGAGUGAUCAAGGACAGCCUUUACAGGGCGAAACUCUUGUCAGUGGCCUCCAAUGGUGAGCAGCUGGCCUCCUUGAGUCAGUCAUCACGGAGCACGCCAAACAGUACCGCCGUAUCCAAGUCUACUAAGGAGAAGAAGGUGGUGCCAAGAUCAUCAUCCUGUCCACCUGUGCAACCUGACAAGUCCAAAACCCCAAGUUUGGUACCAACAAAUAAAAAGCCGAGUUUGGUAGCAAGGCUCAUGGGCCUUGAAGGUUUGCCCCCACACAAGGGAAAUACCGCCAAGAAAGACGAGACACUCAAGACAGUAAGUUCACCAAGGGCACAGUUUGAUAUUGACAUGCCUAAGUCAAAACCACCACCGGCAGAAAAGCUACCAAGGCAAUCAUUAGGAAAGGACUCUCAGCGUAAUGGGAAGGCAGGGCAAGAGAUGAUGAAGACAAUUCAAGUCAAGAGGCUUUUAAAUACCAUGAAUUCUGAUGUGCACAAGGUCCAGCAGUGCAAUGUUCAGAUGAAUUUUCCUUAUUUUCAUGAGGACACCCUUCCUUCGCAAGAUACCUCUGCGGCUACUGAAGUUGGUUCAGCGAAAUCAAUCCAAAGAGAACAAAGGAUGGGCCAAGCUCAAACCAAAUCCCCCAAGGAUGUGAAGGUUGUAUCUCAUAUAACUCGAAAGCAGCGCAUAGAACAAAAAACUGAGAUCAGCAAUAGAAGCAGCAAUAAACAGAAAUAUCAUUUGCCUGAUAGGAAGGGAGAAAGGAGGAAGGAUGUGAAGGCUACGGCAGCAUCAGCUUCUCACAGUAAACUAGUGAGAAAAACUGAUAAGAAAUCGGUUGCAUCAAGUAGCAAUCCUUCAACAUGCCGUACAAUGAAGCCAAUCUUACGAAGAACACCUGGUAGUUCCAGAGAGAAGAUAGUGUCAAGUAGAAAUGUCAACAACUCAACUAUUGAUGACAUUGUGGCAUAUGAGGUGCACAGAGAGUUCAUCCGAACUGAUUGUCCAUCCACAGAACAUAGUGCGACACCUAGUGAUGAAAGCUGCCAGAGUGCUGAUUGGGACACAGAACCUUCCAUCGAUGAUGCCCAUGAAGAUUUUAGCGGGUCCAGUGAAGCUUCACUGAUUUCCAGCCAAAGCAGCCCACCAAUAAACAUAACACCAAAAAAGGAAGUUGAAAUAAAAGAUGAGAUGAGUUUGUUUCUCCUAAGCAGCAAGUCAUUCGUUAACCAAGCAGCACAGCUCAUAGGCACUGACGCAUACGAUUACGACCAUCUGAUCGAGCAAUACAAGGAUACCGGCAAGGCUGAAAUGGGAGACCAUGAACUCUACGUGGACAUAGCAAUGGAGCAGCUGGAACGAAAACAUCGUCAGCAGAACAGCCUAUAUUACACUGGAUACAGGACCCAGAAAUGCGGAGCAACACCAUACUUCUCCCUGGAGGCAUUGCUAGGUGAUAUCGGCGAUGGGACUCGGAAGCUGAAGAGCUACACCGACGACAAAGACGACCAUGGCAGUGGCACCAAAGACAGCAUGUCCAUGAAGCUGGAGAGGGAUCUCGGAUGCGCAGACCCGUCGAUCAACAGCGCAUGGGACAUGGGGUGGCAGGACUGGAUCUGCAUGGAGGAAACGGAGUGCUGGGUAAGGGAUGCCGGGGAGGACGUUCUGUCCUCGCUCAUUGAGGAGGCUGUUUUCGAAAUGCUGGUAAACUGA
rnacentral:rRNA from 1 species